rnacentral:rRNA from 1 species
UACGAAGGGGGCUAGCGUUGCUCGGAAUCACUGGGCGUAAAGCGCACGUAGGCGGCUUGGUAUGUCGGGUGUGAAAUCCCCGGGCUCAACCUGGGAACUGCAUCCGAAACUGCCUUGCUAGAGUAUGGGAGAGGGAAGUGGAAUUUCCGGUGUAGCGGUGAAAUGCGUAGAUAUCGGAAGGAACAUCAGUGGCGAAGGCGACUUCCUGGACCAAUACUGACGCUCAGGUGCGAAAGCGUGGGGAGCAAACA